rnacentral:rRNA from 1 species
GAUUGAACGCUGGCGGCAUGCCUAACACAUGCAAGUCGAACGGUAACAGAACUAGCUUGCUAGUUGCUGACGAGUGGCGGACGGGUGAGUAAUGUAUAGGUACUUGCCUAGUAGUGGGGGACAACGUGUGGAAACGCACGCUAAUACCGCAUACGCUCUACGGAGGAAAGUGGGGGAUCUUCGGACCUCACGCUACUAGAUAGGCCUAUAUUGGAUUAGCUAGUUGGUAAGGUAAGGGCUUACCAAGGCGACGAUCCAUAGCUGGUUUGAGAGAAUGAUCAGCCACACUGGGACUGAGACACGGCCCAGACUCCUACGGGAGGCAGCAGUGGGGAAUAUUGCACAAUGGAGGAAACUCUGAUGCAGCAAUGCCGCGUGUGUGAAGAAGGCCUUAGGGUUGUAAAGCACUUUCAGACGUGAGGAAAAGUAGACUAUUAAUACUAGUUUGCCCUGACGUUAACGUCAGAAGAAGCACCGGCAAACUCCGUGCUAGCAGCUGCGGUAAUACGGAGGGUGCGAGCGUUAAUCGGAAUUACUGGGCGUAAAGCGCGCGUAGGCGGCCUGAUAAGUUGGAUGUGAAAGCCCUGGGCUCAACCUAGGAACUGCAUUCAAAACUGUCAGGCUAGAGUAUGGUAGAGGAUAGUGGAAUUUCCGGUGUAGCGGUGAAAUGCGUAGAGAUCGGAAGGAAUAUUAGUGGUGAAGGCGGCUAUCUGGACCAAUACUGACGCUGAGGUGCGAAAGCGUGGGGAGUAAACAGGAUUAGAUAUCCUGGUAGUCCACGCCGUAAACGAUGUCAACUAGCCGUUGGGGGGCUUGUCCCUUUAGUGGCGCAGCUAACGCGAUAAGUUGACCGCCUGGGGAGUACGGCCGCAAGGUUAAAACUCAAAUGAAUUGACGGGGGCCCGCACAAGCGGUGGAGCAUGUGGUUUAAUUCGAUGCAAUGCGAAGAACCUUACCAGGUCUUGACAUCCCGAGAAUUUACUAGAGAUAGUUUAGUGCCUUCGGGAACUCGGUGACAGGUGCUGCAUGGCUGUCGUCAGCUCGUGUCGUGAGAUGUUGGGUUAAGUCCCGUAACGAGCGCAACCCUUGUCCUUAGUUGCCAGCACGUAAUGGUGGGAACUCUAAGGAGACUGCCGGUGACAAACCGGAGGAAGGUGGGGACGACGUCAAGUCAUCAUGGCCCUUACGACCUGGGCUACACACGUGCUACAAUGGUCGGUACAGAGGGUUGCCAAGCCGUAAGGAGGAGCUAAUCUCAGAAAAUUAUUCGUAGUCCGGAUUGGAGUCUGCAACUCGACUCCAUGAAGUCGGAAUCGCUAGUAAUCGCGAAUCAGCAUGUCGCGGUGAAUACGUUCCCGGGCCUUGUACACACCG